AGAUGUUUGUUUGGGAUGCUUGCAAGGAUCUGACCUUGAUUAUUUCAAUCGUAGCUGCUACAGCUUCAUUAGUACUGGGGAUAAAAUCUGAGGGUAUUAAGGAAGGAUGGUAUGAUGGUGGAAGCAUUGCUUUUGCAGUUAUUCUGGUUAUUGUUGUUACAGCUAUAAGUGAUUAUAAGCAGUCUCUUCAGUUUCGGGACCUAAAUGAGGAGAAGAGAAACAUUCAUUUGGAGGUAAUUGGAGGAGGUAGAAGAGUUGAGAUCUCAAUCUAAUAUGACUGGGGAGAGCAAUAUUGUUGAAAAGAAUUCUAAGAACCCUAUUCUGCUAUCUGGUUGUAAAGUUGCAGAUGGCAGUGGUGUUAUGCUCUAAUGGCUUCGGGAUCCGAUGAUGCUCUUAAGAGUGUUGGUUUAGUGUUAGCAGGACUUACCAACUGAAUCUGGAACUGUGAUCCCCUAUGUUCACUUGAUGAAACAAGCUCACAAGAUUUUGA